rnacentral:rRNA from 1 species
AGAUGAUGAGGUAGAUAGGCCAGGUGUGUAAGGGUAGUAAUACCUUAAGCUGACUGGUACUAAUUGGUCGAGGGCUUGACCUA